rnacentral:rRNA from 1 species
GACGGAGGAUGCAAGUGUUAUCCGGAAUCACUGGGCGUAAAGCGUCUGUAGGUGGUUUAAUAAGUCAACUGUUAAAUCUUGAGGCUCAACCUCAAAAUCGCAGUCGAAACUAUUAGGCUAGAGUAUAGUAGGGGUAAAGGGAAUUUCCAGUGGAGCGGUGAAAUGCGUAGAGAUUGGAAAGAACACCCGAUGGCGAAGGCACUUUACUGGGCUAUUACUAACCACUCAGAG